rfam:Nicotiana attenuata strain TT chromosome 1, whole genome shotgun sequence.
AAACCAUGAUUGGGAGACCUCACCAAAUGUAAUUUGAAUCGAUCCCAUGCCUCAUGAAGAUAUUCUCCUUGCUGUUGCUUGAAGAAGAAAAUUUUAUCUCGAAGUUU